rnacentral:rRNA from 1 species
UACGGGGGGAGCAAGCGUUGUUCGGAUUUACUGGGCGUAAAGGGCGCGUAGGCGGCCACUGCAAGUCGGUUGUGAAAUCUCCGGGCUUAACCCGGAAAGGUCAAUCGAUACUGCAGGGCUAGAGUGCGGAAGGGGCAACUGGAAUUCUCGGUGUAGCGGUGAAAUGCGUAGAUAUCGAGAGGAACCCCUGCGGCGAAGGCGGGUUGCUGGGCCGACACUGACGCUGACAGCGCGAAAGCUGGGGGAGCGAACGGG